CGGGUUUGUGCCGCGCGCCGACUCACCGAGCCGCCCGCCGAGUCCGCGUCUACACCCCCAUCCGACCCGAUUGGAUUUUUGGCGUCUGUCUAUACAGAGGUGGAGGGGAACAAUUCACCGUCUUGAUUUCCAAAACAAACAAGCCCGGACAGGGGUGCUGGGCCCCGUGGAAACGACUCAACCCUGUUUUCCGUCACUUGCACCUGGCUCCCGGGUUGCCCUGGCCCUGCAAGCCGGGGUCCACGAAAAUGCGAUUUUAACAACUUUUAAAACAAGACCGAGGAGACGAAAGUGCCUGCGACCCAGGAAGUUCAUGAUGCGGCUCGCUUGACCCAUUCCGCAUCGGGGAGACGCUGGGCCGGGGUCUGGUAUGGGGUUCGCAUGAGCGACCGCCCCUUAGCGCUGGCGGCUCCUUUGUGGGGGGGGGGGGGUCGAGUCGGGAACCUCGGUGGGGUGCGCGCCCCACCUGCCGGGCACCGACGGGACUGCAGUCAGGGGCGGGGCCGGCGCCUGAGGCCGCCAGGUGGCGCCGUGUCCCCUGAAAACGACUUUCCCGGGUCAGAUGGGGAAACUGAGGCCCGCGGAGUUAUUUUCUCCCCUUUGGCUCCUUCUGAACGUUCUACGGUAGAAUUGCCAGAUAAAUACCGGAUUCGCGGUUAAAUUUUAAGUGUAUCCUAAGUUUUGCACAGGACCUACUUACACUAAAAAGUUUUUCAUUGUUUAUCGGAAAUUGAAAUUAGCCCCUUUCCCUACCCCAGACCCCCAGGGUUUAUCCCCCAUCAGGUGGCCCUGAGGCCCAUCCCACCCGCUCUCUCGGAUGGGCUGUGCUGGCAUAUGCCUGGUCCUGGCAGCUCAAAAGGCAAGGCCCGUGGUAGUAAUGAAAUAGUAAACUGGAAAAGUCUCCACCUACCUUGGACCGUGUCCCUCCCUGCUUAGGAGCCUCCAUGGUUCCCAUCACCCUCAGGAAAGAUCCGGCUUAUCCCUGCAGCUGGCAAUCUUCCCACUGCACUCUCCUCUGGCCCCGCAGGCCUUCUAGCUGUUUCUCACCAGAUGUUUCCUGCCCCAGGGCCUUUGCACUGUCUGUGCUCCCCAUCUGUUGUGCUCUUCCCCCACCUCCGAGCUGCGUUCACAUUUCCCAGACUUGCCUGCUCCAGGAAGCCUUCCCGGACUCACCCCCACCAAGGUCAGGCUCCCAGUGACCCACGAGGGGCACACAUGUCUUUCUCAUGACCCUUUCUGCUGCUCUAACUCUGCAUCUCUCCAGGUAGUCUGCCCCUUCCGUCCGAGGCCAGGCAGGGACUGUGUACAGGAAGCCCCUCCUCACUGCCGUGGCCCGACCCCCAGCGCAGAGCCUGGCACACGGGAGGGGCUCCGAAAACGAGGUCCAGCUAAAUGGGCCCCAAACGACUCCUCUUCCUAGACCUCCCUUUCAGCCCUUCAACGUUGUGUGUUUUCCUGAGAUAAUCGUGAAUCCUGACGCAGAACUUGGCCGGGCUUCCCCCGACAGUGACAUUUUGUAACACUGCACUACGGUAUCACAACCAGGAUUUUGACCCUGAUGCGAUCCGCCCACCUUCUUUGGAUUUCCCCGUUUUAUGGGACAGGAGUGUGCCAUCACGAGGGUCCCUCCUGCCCCCUGCCCACCUCGCUCACCGCCCCUACUGCCCUCACCCCGGCAACCACCGGUCUCUUCUCCAUCCCCAUAACGCUCUCUCCUCCAGGUGCUGUUAGAACCACACGUGUCGUGUAACCUUGGGGGUUGCCUGAUUUUCCCCGCAUGAUUCUGGGAGAUGCGUCCGAGGGGCCGCGUGUCUGCCGCGCGCCCACAACUGUCUGCUGCUGAGUUGUGUCCCAUGGUGUGGGUGGGCGAGUGUGCUUGCCCACACGCGUGUCGUGGACGCCCAAGGUACCGCGUGUCGGCUGCCGCAGGUGAGCUAAGUGUGCGGGUUUUCUGUCCCGGAGCUUUUAUUUCUCUGACGUGAAUACCCCAGAGCCCCCUUCACCUUCUUUUAAAAAAAAAAAAAAAACCGUUUUUCCUGCAGAAACUGUGCCACUCCCUCUGCACACACUUUCUCUCUUAACCCCCACAACAAACACACUUGGUCAUUCAUCCCGCAAAUAUCUAAUCAGCCCGACCGUGCGCUGGGCGCUGGGCAUUCGUGGGGGACCACGUGAGACAGGCAGCCAGCAGGUACAACACAGGGACAUCAGAACCGUGAUGGGGGCAGCGCUGGGCGCAGAGAGCUCCAGGA